rnacentral:rRNA from 1 species
GACGAACGCUGGCGGCGUGCUUAACACAUGCAAGUCGAACGGAAAGGCCCUGCUUUCGUGGGGUGCUCGAGUGGCGAACGGGUGAGUAACACGUGAGUAACCUGCCCUUGACUUUGGGAUAACUUCAGGAAACUGGGGUUAAUACCGGAUAGGAGCUCCUGCUGCAUGGUGGGGGUUGGAAAGUUUCGGCGGUUGGGGAUGGACUCGCGGCUUAUCAGCUUGUUGGUGGGGUAGUGGCUUACCAAGGCUUGGACGGGUAGCCGGCCUGAGAGGGUGACCGGCCACAUUGGGACUGAGAUACGGCCCAGACUCCUACGGUAGGCAGCAGUGGGGAAUAUUGCACAAUGGGCGGGAGCCUGAUGCAGCAACGCCGCGUGCGGGAUGACGGCCUUCGGGGUGUAAACCGCUUUCGCCUGUGACGAAGCGUUAGUGACGGUAAUGGGUAAAGAAGCACCGGCUAACUACGUG